GGGUCUGCGUUUCAUUAGCUUGUUGGCGGGGUAACGGCCCACCAAGGUCAACGAUGGGUAGCCGAUUUGAGAGGAUGAUCGGCCACACUGGAACUGAAACACGGUUCCAGACUCCUACGGGAGGCAGCANUGGGGAAUAUUGCGCAAUGGGCGAAAGCCUGACGCAGCGACGCCUCGUGCGGGAUGAAGGUUUUCGGAUCGUAAACCUCUGUCAGAAGGGAAGAAACUACGUUGUGCUAAUCAGCAGCGAACUGACGGUACCUUCAAAGGAAGCACCGGCUAACUCCGUGCCAUCAGCCGCGUUAAUACGGAGGGUGCAAGCGUUAAUCGGAAUUACUGGGCGUAAAGCGCACGUAGGCUGUAUUGUAAGUCAGGGGUGAAAUCCCACGGCUCAACCGUGGAACUGCCUUUGAUACUGCACAACUUGAAUCCGGGARAGGGCGGCAGAAUUCCAGGUGUGGGAGUGAAAUCCGUAGAUAUCUGGAGGAACAUCAGUGGCGAAGGCGGCCACCUGGACCGGUAUUGACGCUGAGGUGCGAAAGCGUGGGGAGCUAACAGGAUUAKAUACCCUGGUAGUCCACGCCUGUAAACGAUGAACKCUAGAUGCCGUGG
rnacentral:rRNA from 1 species